rnacentral:rRNA from 1 species
UUCCGUAGGUGAACCUGCGGAGGGAUCAUUACCGAGUUUACAACUCCCAAACCCAAUGUGAACCAUACCAAACUGUUGCCUCGGCGGGGUCACGCCCCGGGUGCGUCGCAGCCCCGGAACCAGGCGCCCGCCGGAGGGACCAACCAAACUCUUUACUGUAGUCCCCUCGCGGACGUUAUUUCUUACAGCUCUGAGCAAAAAAUUCAAAAUGAAUCAAAACUUUCAACAACGGAUCUCUUGGUUCUGGCAUCGAUGAAGAACGCAGCGAAAUGCGAUAAGUAAUGUGAAUUGCAGAAUUCAGUGAAUCAUCGAAUCUUUGAACGCACAUUGCGCCCGCCAGUAUUCUGGCGGGCAUGCCUGUCCGAGCGUCAUUUCAACCCUCGAACCCCUCCGGGGGGUCGGCGUUGGGGAUCGGGAACCCCUCAGACGGGAUCCCGGCCCCGAAAUACAGUGGCGGUCUCGCCGCAGCCUCUCCUGCGCAGUAGUUUGCACAACUCGCACCGGGAGCGCGGCGCGUCCACGUCCGUAAAACACCCAACUUUCUGAAAUGUUGACCUCGGAUCAGGUAGGAAUACCCGCUGAACUUAAGCAUAUCAAUAAGGCGGA